CCCUUAGAUGUUCUGGGCCGCACGCGCGCUACACUGACGAAUGCAACGAGCUUAUAACCUUGGCCGAAAGGUCUGGGUAAUCUCCAAAUUUCGUCGUGAUGGGGAUAGAUUAUUGCAAUUAUUAAUCUUCAACGAGGAAUGCCUAGUAAGCGCAAUUCAUCAGCUUGCGUUGAUUACGUCCCUGCCCUUUGUACACACCGCCCGUCGCUCCUACCGAUUGAAUGGUCCGGUGAAGCGUUCGGACCGUGGCCUUUGGACGGUUCGCCGUCUGUUGGCUGCGGGAAGUUCGUUAAACCUUAUCAUUUAGAGGAAGGAGAAGUCGUAACA
rnacentral:rRNA from 1 species